rnacentral:rRNA from 1 species
UAGAGUUUGAUCAUGGCUCAGGAUGAACGCUAGCGACAGGCUUAACACAUGCAAGUCGAGGGGCAGCGGGGAGGUAGCAAUACUUCCGCCGGCGACCGGCGCACGGGUGAGUAACACGUAUGGAACCUGCCCGUAGCAGGGGGAUAAACGGAAGAAAUUCCGUCUAAUACCGCGUAAUAACUCCGAGAGGCAUCUCAUGGAGUUUAAAGGGUAACACCGGCUACGGAUGGCCAUGCGGCGCAUUAGCUAGUUGGCGGGGUAACGGCCCACCAAGGCGACGAUGCGUAGGGGUUCUGAGAGGAAGGUCCCCCACACUGGUACUGAGACACGGACCAGACUCCUACGGGAGGCAGCAGUGAGGAAUAUUGGUCAAUGGGCGCGAGCCUGAACCAGCCAAGUCGCGUGAGGGAAGACGGUCCUAUGGAUUGUAAACCUCUUUUGUCGGGGAGCAAAAGACGCCACGUGUGGCGUUCCGAGAGUACCCGAAGAAAAAGCAUCGGCUAACUCCGUGCCAGCAGCCGCGGUAAUACGGAGGAUGCGAGCGUUAUCCGGAUUUAUUGGGUUUAAAGGGUGCGCAGGCGGAAGAUCAAGUCAGCGGUAAAAUUGAGAGGCUCAACCUCUUCGAGCCGUUGAAACUGGUUUUCUUGAGUGAGCGAGAAGUAUGCGGAAUGCGUGGUGUAGCGGUGAAAUGCAUAGAUAUCACGCAGAACUCCGAUUGCGAAGGCAGCAUACCGGCGCUCAACUGACGCUCAUGCACGAAAGUGUGGGUAUCGAACAGGAUUAGAUACCCUGGUAGUCCACACAGUAAACGAUGAAUACUAAUUGUUCGGGGAGAAUGAUCCCUGAGUGAUACAGCGAAAGCGUUAAGUAUUCCACCUGGGGAGUACGCCGGCAACGGUGAAACUCAAAGGAAUUGACGGGGGCCCGCACAAGCGGAGGAACAUGUGGUUUAAUUCGAUGAUACGCGAGGAACCUUACCCGGGCUCAAACGACACAGGAAUACUUUUGAAAGGAGGUAGCUCUACGGAGUCUGUGUCGAGGUGCUGCAUGGUUGUCGUCAGCUCGUGCCGUGAGGUGUCGGCUUAAGUGCCAUAACGAGCGCAACCCCCAUCGCCAGUUACCAGCAAGUCAAGUUGGGGACUCUGGCGAGACUGCCGGCGCAAGCUGUGAGGAAGGCGGGGAUGACGUCAAAUCAGCACGGCCCUUACGUCCGGGGCGACACACGUGUUACAAUGGCAGGUACAGAGAGAAGCAAUGCGGCGACGCAAAGCGGAACUUGAAAGCCUGUCUCAGUUCGGAUUGGAGUCUGCAACUCGACUCCAUGAAGCUGGAUUCGCUAGUAAUCGCGCAUCAGCCAUGGCGCGGUGAAUACGUUCUCGGGCCUUGUACACACCGCCCGUCAAGCCAUGGAAGCCGGGAGUGCCUGAAGUGUGCAACCGCAAGGAGCGCCCUAAGGUAAAACUGGUGACUGGGGCUAAGUCGUAAUCAAGGUAACCGUAA